GUGCUCACUUCAACAUUUGCACUAAUAUUAGAAUAAUACAGAAAAAAAUUACCAUGGCCACUGCACAAAAAUGACAUGCAAAUUCAUAAAGUGGUUACAUAUUUUU
rnacentral:snRNA from 1 species